AUUGAACGCUGGCGGAAUGCUUUACACAUGCAAGUCGAACGGCAGCACGGACUUCGGUCUGGUGGCGAGUGGCGAACGGGUGAGUAAUGUAUCGGAACGUGCCCAGUCGUGGGGGAUAACGUAGUGAAAAUUACGCUAAUACCGCAUACGAUCUAUGGAUGAAAGCGGGGGAUCGCAAGACCUCGCGCGAUUGGAGCGGCCGAUAUCAGAUUAAGCAGGUGGGGGGGUAAAGGCCCACCAAGCCAACGAUCGGUAGCUGGUCUGAGAGGACGACUAGCCACACUGGAACUGAGACACGGUCCACACACCUACGGGAGGCAGCAGUGGGGAAGUUUGCACAAUGGGCGAAAGACUUAUCCAGCCAUUCCGCGUGCAGGAUGAAGGCCCUCGGGUUUUAAACUGCUUUUGUACAGGACGAAAAGGUUUCUACUAAUACUAGGAGCUCAUGACGGUACUGUAAGAAUAAGCACCGGCUAACUACGUGCCAGCCGCCGCCGUAA
rnacentral:rRNA from 1 species